rnacentral:rRNA from 1 species
UACGUAGGUGACAAGCGUUGUCCGGAUUUACUGGGCGUAAAGAGCGCGCAGGCGGUCGUUCAAGUCGAGUGUGAAAGCCCCCGGCUCAACUGGGGAGGGUCACUCGAUACUGAUCGACUCGAAGGCAGGAGAGGGAAGUGGAAUUCCCGGUGUAGUGGUGAAAUGCGUAGAUAUCGGGAGGAACACCAGUGGCGAAGGCGGCUCACUGGACUGGUAUUGACGCUGAGGUGCGAAAGCGUGGGGAGC